AGUGAACGCUGGCGGUAGGCCUAACACAUGCAAGUCGAACGGCAGCACAGUAAGAGCUUGCUCUUACGGGUGGCGAGUGGCGGACGGGUGAGGAAUACAUCGGAAUCUACUUUUUCGUGGGGGAUAACGUAGGGAAACUUACGCUAAUACCGCAUACGACCUACGGGUGAAAGCAGGGGAUCUUCGGACCUUGCGCGAUUGAAUGAGCCGAUGUCGGAUUAGCUAGUUGGCGGGGUAAAGGCCCACCAAGGCGACGAUCCGUAGCUGGUCUGAGAGGAUGAACCGCCAAACUGGAACUGAGACACGGUCCCGACUCCCAAGGGAGGCAGCAGUGGGGAAUAUUGGACAAUGGGCGCAAGCCUGAUCCAGCCCUACCGCGUGGGUGAAGAAGGCCUUCGGGUUGUAAAGCCCUUUUGUUGGGAAAGAAAAGCAGCAGGUUAAUACCCCGCUGUUCUGACGGUACCCAAAGAAUAAGCACCGGCUAACUUCGUG
rnacentral:rRNA from 1 species